GAUGAAGAACGCAGCGAAAUGCGAUAAGUAAUGUGAAUUGCAGAAUUCAGUGAAUCAUCGAAUCUUUGAACGCACAUUGCGCCCGCCAGUAUUCUGGCGGGCAUGCCUGUUCGAGCGUCAUUUCAACCAUCAAGCCCCCGGCUUGUGUUGGGGACCUGCGGCUGCCGCAGGCCCUGAAAUGCAGUGGCGGGCUCGCUAUCACACCGAGUGCAGUAGAUUACUCUUCGCUCAGGGCGUGUGGCGGGUUCCAGCCGUGAAACCCCCUACUUCUCAAGGUUGACCUCGGAUCAGGUAGGAAUACCCGCUGAACUUAAGCAUAUCAAUAAGCGGAGGA
rnacentral:misc_RNA from 1 species